UGGAAUUCCCUGUGUAGCGGUGAAAUGCGUAGAUAUGUGAAGGAACACCAGUGGCGAAGGCGACCCCCUGGACUGAUACUGACACUGAGGUGCGAAAGCGUGGGGAGCGAACAGGAUUAGAUACCCUGGUAGUCCACGCCGUAAACGAUGUCUACUAGCCGUUGGAAUCCUUGAGAUUUUAGUGGCGCAACUAACGCAUUAAGUUGACCGCCUGGGGAGUACCGCCGCCAGGAUAAAACUCCAAUGAAUUGACCGGGGCCCGCACAAGCGGUGGAGCAUGUGGUUUAAUUCCAAACAACGCCAAAAACCUUACCAGGGCUUGGCAUGCAGAGGACUUUCCUGAAAUGGAUUGGUGCCUUCCGGAGCUCUGACGCAGGUGCUGCAUGGCUGUCGUCCGCUCGUGUCGUGAGAUGGUGGGUUAAGUCCCGUAACGAGCGCAACCCUUGUCCUUAGUUACCAGGCACGUUAU
rnacentral:rRNA from 1 species